GAAAUUAAACUCCAAAAACCAUAGCGAACGCUGUUAUUGGCCAGCCGUUUUUGCGAGUGAAAGUCGUGAAACUGAGAGACUUCGACAGGUUAUCCAGUCAUAGAUGUGAAUGUCAGCUGAACAGGGCGAGAAACAAUGGCGAUAAGAUAAACUGUGGCAGAUAAGCUAAUUUUAUCGCCGGCCGAAGAAGUGUCGCGAUUGUACCGACGCGGGAAGAGGUGGAGCAGCAGCCGGCUUGAGAUGAGCAAACAGAAAAAUAUGCGAUUAUCCUGCGACGUGGUUCAGGGUGGAACUACCUGUUGAUGUCACGUUAUGGGGUGGUGCUUCCUCGCCGGAGUUCUACUGCUCUCCAUAUGCGUGGUGGGACUGCCAUUGCCCCAGGUCGGCGGAGCCGCAGGUGCCCACGGGCAGCCGC